rnacentral:tRNA from 1 species
GGGCGCGUAGCUCAGUUGGUUAGAGCGCACGGUUCACAUCCGUGAGGUUCGUGGGUUCGAGCCCCUCCGCGCCCACAA